CCUGCCGUAUCACCUAAGUUCCUCUCCGUUAGUCCGUUGGUACAAUCCGUAAGAUCAAGCUCGACUACUCUAUAAUCUAGAAUUAGCUGGUUUUAAAGUUUUUAGCAACACCGAAGGGUAGGAAUUAGCAUGAUACCAGUUCAAGUUGGUACGUCACGUGAUUAAGGAAUAACCUAUAUAAAAUACAAGCCGGAAUGGCUACUGGCUUAAUGUAUUAAUAAGCAUUAACAUUUUCAUGUACUUAAAAAAAAAAAAAAAAACAUUCAUUCAGAUCUAAAUGUGAUGGAACUGACAUCCUUGUUUAGUUGUUGUUGAUUUUAUAUUCAUAGGUAUGCUCUUUGGUAACUGUAGACGGUGAGCCCCGCCUACUUCCAGCCAUCUUUAAUUUUCAUUGGCUGUCAGAAUCUUUUCACCAAUGGAUGUAUAAGUCGAGAUGUAAUUGAAUCAUUUACGUAUCCUUGAAAUUGGAAUCAAUCAUAUGUGUAAUAUAGAGUGAAGAUGACUAUUAAGGGGUGAUAUUAAUAAAUAGCUUACCCAAAAUCUACCAACUUCCAAGCAAGGACCGAAGCACAUAAACUCGGAAAUCAAUUAAACGCAGGACUUCGGGAAUGUCCGGAGAGCCGACAACCUUGCUUCGGAAGUUGAAAAUCUACCUGUCUUCUAUACAUGCAAGUUUGAUUGCUCAUAAAAUUUGAUUUCUAAAGAUGAUGCCAAUACCUCGUGAUAUUUGUGCCGUACAAAAGACGAAUUACGCUAUUCUCUGCACAAUAAAUAUUGUUUCAAGAAAACAUCAGGUACGCGUAAUUUUUUGCUGCAGUAUUGUAUUCUUCGCUGUCUUUUAUUUAACAAUGUACGUGUAUUCUUUAGUGUUAGUAAUUUUAAAUGCCACUUUCCACACUAUUGUGCUAUUUCGUGCUGGUCAGUGUUUAUUGAAGGUGGAAAUCGGAGUGCUCGUAGAGAGCAACCGACCUUUGAAUGGAAGACUUACAAUUCUUGUCAAUUAAUAUGCCGGAUUCGAACUAUACCCCACAGUGUUGACAGUUAGGCUUGUUAAGCCUACUAGAACACUCGGUACACGAUGCCCUAUGUUUGUUUUUGUGUAUCUUUCUUUAAGUAUUUGUGUUGUUUGGUUAAAUGUAUUUUAUUGUUUUACGAACUCAACUUCCGGUUCUGGGUGGGGUUCAUAUAGAUGAAUCUUUAGUGUAGUGUUUUGCGAACUUGUUUUUUUUUGACGUUUUUUUCGCCAAGGCGUUGUUAGCUUUUCUUCAUCUUAUGAGUUAACGGCAUUUCACAAGACAACACACCUAAUGGAAUGUAUGGAUAGACAGUUUUCAAACCUUGUAUGUAGUUCGAUAGGACAAACAUUUGUAUGUCUCUGACCGCAAGGCACUUGUUAAUUUUCGCAAAACAUUAGUUAAGGAACAUAAUAUGUUUAUCAGUUGGGAACUAAAAAUAUUCUGAAUCAGAAAAAAGACACAUUUUUUCAUAGGUUUCUUUCAUUAAGUAUGUUUUGGUGCCGGAGUUUUCUUUAAGCUUAUGAUAAUAUUUCAAAUAAUUUUCCUUUGUUCGUUGCACUAUUUCUCUUAUUUAUACGAUCUUACAAUAAAUGUAGUCUUUCUAGGAUAUAAUGGUAAACAUUGUGCCCUCUAUUUUGAUAAUGCAAGAAUAAGUUUACAGCAGUAUAAAUAAAUUCAACAGUAGUAUACCGCUGUUCAAUAAUAAUAAAUCG
rnacentral:lncRNA from 1 species